rnacentral:rRNA from 1 species
GAUGAACGCUGGCGGCGUGCUUAACACAUGCAAGUCGAACGGAAAGGCCCAAGCUUGCUUGGGUACUCGAGUGGCGAACGGGUGAGUAACACGUGGGUGAUCUGCCCUGCACUUCGGGAUAAGCCUGGGAAACUGGGUCUAAUACCGGAUAGGACCACAUUUUGGAUGGUGUGGUGGAAAGUUUUUCGGUGUGGGAUGAGCUCGCGGCCUAUCAGCUUGUUGUUGGGGUAAUGGCCUACCAAGGCGUCGACGGGUAGCCGGCCUGAGAGGGUGUACGGCCACAUUGGGACUGAGAUACGGCCCAGACUCCUACGGGAGGCAGCAGUGGGGAAUAUUGCACAAUGGGCGCAAGCCUGAUGCAGCGACGCCGCGUGGGGGAUGACGGCCUUCGGGUUGUAAACUCCUUUCGCUAGGGACGAAGCGUUAUGUGACGGUACCUGGAGAAGAAGCACCGGCUAACUACGUG